rnacentral:rRNA from 1 species
UACGGAGGAUCCAAGCGUUAUCCGGAGUUAUUGGGUUUAAAGGGUGCGUAGGCGGACCCGUAAGUCAGUGGUGAAAGUUUGCGGCUCAACUGUAAGAUUGCCAUUGAGACUAUGGGUCUUGAGUGUAAAUGAGGUAGGCGGAAUGUGUUGUGUAGCGGUGAAAUGCUUAGAUAUAACACAGAACACCAAUUGCGAAGGCAGCUUACUAGGAUACAACUGACGCUGAGGCACGAAAGCGUGGGGAUCAAACAGG